CGUAGGAGAUUUGCGGGGAGCUGUCCCUAGUACGAGAGGACCGGGAUGGACGCACCUCUAGUGUUCCGGUUGUGCCGCCAGGCGCAGCGCCGGGUAGCUAUGUGCGGCAGGGAUAACCGCUGAAAGCAUCUAAGCGGGAAGCCCACCCCAAGACGAGAUCUCCCGGGCGUAAGCCCCCAAAGGCCCCUCGGAGACUACGAGGUUGAUAGGCCAGAGGUGUAAGCACAGCAAUGUGUUCAGCCGACUGGUACUAAUCGGCCGGGCGGCUUGACCAUUUU
rnacentral:rRNA from 1 species